rnacentral:rRNA from 1 species
AUGCUCCACUUUUUGUACAACAAGUCCUUUUGCCGGCUCACCCACAGCCAGUCAGCCACCAUGCAGCACUCCUCGCCCUUCCUCUCGCUCCUCCUCCUCCUCGCCGCCUCGCCACUCCUUGCCGCCGCAGAAACGAUCUACUGCUUCGGUGGAGUACACAACACCAACAGCACCUACGGGGCCAACCUCCGCCGCCUGGCCGCCGUCCUGCCGUCCAAGACCGCCUCCUCCCAAGGCCUCCGGGCGUCCGGUGACGUGGGGUACUGGCCUAACCGGGUGCGAGCCUCCUCCAGCUGCGAGCCUCCUAGCGUCAACUCCUCGUCCUGUGCCGCCUGCGUCGCCGCCGCCUUCCGGGAGGCGGAGAGCGCGUGCCCGUACGGCAGGAAGGUGCUCGUCUUGGCCGGCAACUGCACUCUCCGACUCGGCCUUGGCCAUUUUUCUAGAUCUCUCGGCUUGGGUGAGGGUGGGUUCUCUGGCAUCUCUUCUCAAGAAGGUAUGUUUUGCUUUACAGGACCCACAGAUUAUUAUUUUUCUGCGUACAUCAGUCUCAUGUGCUAA